rnacentral:lncRNA from 1 species
CGUUUAGCUCACCGUAAGUCCUCUGGGAUACAACUGCCCCUUCUUCAUUGAUCCAUGAAUAUAAUGUCUUUUCUCUUGUGGAUGUUGAAGUUCCCCAAUGUUUCAGGUAUGCGUCAAGGCUAGGAAGUUCUGGGAACUCCACUCCUGGAAUCUCCCUAGGAUAUUGCAGGCUCCUGGUGCGAAUAUCGGAUUGUAGCGAGAACAAGCUCUAAAACGACGAGAAGAAAGACAAUAAUAGUUUCAGUGCAUCAGGUACUUGCUUGUUCAAUCACUUAAAAAUAAAUGUCUCUAAUCAUUUUUUGUUACCUUAGCAUAAGGAAACAUGGGUAAUGGAUUGUCAUUUGCAAAAUGCUUGCAGAUGAGAGCCAUGGAAUAAGAUGAGUUCCUCUCUGUGAGCUCAAAUGCCAUAAGCCCACCAACAUAAAGUGUAUUCCUUUGCCCUUGAAGUUCAUCUUCGAGUCU